rnacentral:rRNA from 1 species
AGUGAACGCUGGCGGUAGGCCUAACACAUGCAAGUCGAACGGCAGCACAGAGGAGCUUGCUCCUUGGGUGGCGAGUGGCGGACGGGUGAGGAAUACAUCGGAAUCUACUCUGUCGUGGGGGAUAACGUAGGGAAACUUACGCUAAUACCGCAUACGACCUACGGGUGAAAGCAGGGGAUCUUCGGACCUUGCGCGAUUGAAUGAGCCGAUGUCGGAUUAGAUAGUUGGCGGGGUAAAGGCCCACCAAGGCGACGAUCCGUAGCUGGUCUGAGAGCAUACUCAUCCAAACUGGACAUGAGACACGGUCCAGACUCCUACGGGAGGCAGCAGUGGGGAAUAUUGGACAAUGGGCGCAAGCCUGAUCCAGCCAUACCGCGUGGGUGAAGAAGGCCUUCGGGUUGUAAAGCCCUUUUGUUGGGAAAGAAAUCCAUCUGGUUAAUACCCGGGUGGGAUGACGGUACCCAAAGAAUAAGCACCGGCUAACUUCGUGCCAGCCGCCGCAGUAA